UGUCAUUGUAAUCUCACUACCAUCGACUUUGGUCUUUUCGGUAUGUGGACUUGGAUGCUGCCGUUGAUGUUGACGGCUCGUCUGAAAUGCCUGAGUGUACCCUGCUUUGCGGCGUAUUCGGUGUGAUACAUCUUCACCGGAGUUGAUCCUUGUGGUCGCGUCUGUAAUGGUGUGGCUCUAUGCUUCCAAUCGUCUCUUUGGUUAGACAAUCUCUGACAAUUUGACCUCAAAUCGGGUGGGACUACCCGCUGAACUUAAGCAUAUCAAUAAGCGGAGGAAAAGAAACUAACAAGGAUUCCCCUAGUAACGGCGAGUGAAGAGGGAAAAGCUCAAAUUUUGAAUCUGGUGUCUUUGACUCCCGAGUUGUAAUCUAGAGAAGUGUUUUCCGUGUCGGACCGUGCACAAGUUCCCUGGAACGGGGCGUCAUAGAGGGUGAGAAUCCCGUAUAUGGCAUGGACUACCGAUGCUUUUGUGAUACACUCUCAACGAGUCGAGUUGUUUGGGAAUGCAGCUCAAAAUGGGUGGUAAAUUCCAUCUAAAGCUAAAUAUUGGCGAGAGACCGAUAGCGAACAAGUACCGUGAGGGAAAGAUGAAAAGCACUUUGGAAAGAGAGUGAAACAGUACGUGAAAUUGUUGAAAGGGAAGCGUUUGAAGUCAGUCAUAUCUGGCGGGAUUCAGCCGGGCUUUUGCCAGGUGUACUUCUCGUCCGAUGGGUCAGCAUCAAUUUCGACCGGGGGAAAAAGGCAUUGGGAAUGUGGCUGUCUUCGGGCAGUGUUAUAGCCUCGUGUUGUAUGCCUCGGUUGGAUUGAGGAACGCAGCGCGCCGCAUGGCCAGGGGUUCGCC
rnacentral:rRNA from 1 species